GAUCUACUCCCUCCGUUCGGAAUUACUUGUCUCGGAAAUGGAUGUACGUCUAAAUACAUCCAUUUCCGAGACAAAUAAUUCCGAACGGAGGGAGUAGUAG
rfam:Triticum aestivum genome assembly, contig: Triticum_aestivum_CS42_TGACv1_scaffold_129551_2BL